UGCACCGAAGCUGCGGCAGCGACGCUUAUGCGUUGUUGGGUAGGGGAGCGUUCUGUAAGCCUGUGAAGGUGUGCUGUGAGGCAUGCUGGAGGUAUCAGAAGUGCGAAUGCUGACAUAAGUAACGAUAAAGCGGGUGAAAAGCCCGCUCGCCGGAAGACCAAGGGUUCCUGUCCAACGUUAAUCGGGGCAGGGUGAGUCGACCCCUAAGGCGAGGCCGAAAGGCGUAGUCGAUGGGAAACAGGUUAAUAUUCCUGUACUUGGUGUUACUGCGAAGGGGGGACGGAGAAGGCUAUGUUGGCCGGGCGACGGUUGUCCCGGUUUAAGCGUGUAGGCUGGUUUUCCAGGCAAAUCCGGAAAAUCAAGGCUGAGGCGUGAUGACGAGGCACUACGGUGCUGAAGCAACAAAUGCCCUGCUUCCAGGAAAAGCCUCUAAGCAUCAGGUAACAUCAAAUCGUACCCCAAACCGACACAGGUGGUCAGGUAGAGAAUACCAAGGCGCUUGAGAGAACUCGGGUGAAGGAACUAGGCAAAAUGGUGCCGUAACUUCGGGAGAAGGCACGCUGAUAUGUAGGUGAAGCGACUUGCUCGUGGAGCUGAAAUCAGUCGAAGAUACCAGCUGGCUGCAACUGUUUAUUAAAAACACAGCACUGUGCAAACACGAAAGUGGACGUAUACGGUGUGACGCCUGCCCGGUGCCGGAAGGUUAAUUGAUGGGGUCAGCGCAAGCGAAGCUCUUGAUCGAAGCCCCGGUAAACGGCGGCCGUAACUAUAACGGUCCUAAGGUAGCGAAAUUCCUUGUCGGGUAAGUUCCGACCUGCACGAAUGGCGUAAUGAUGGCCAGGCUGUCUCCACCCGAGACUCAGUGAAAUUGAACUCGCUGUGAAGAUGCAGUGUACCCGCGGCAAGACGGAAAGACCCCGUGAACCUUUACUAUAGCUUGACACUGAACAUUGAGCCUUGAUGUGUAGGAUAGGUGGGAGGCUUUGAAGUGUGGACGCCAGUCUGCAUGGAGCCGGCCUUGAAAUACCACCCUUUAAUGUUUGAUGUUCUAACGUGGACCCGUAAUCCGGGUUGCGGACAGUGUCUGGUGGGUAGUUUGACUGGGGCGGUCUCCUCCUAAAGAGUAACGGAGGAGCACGAAGGUUGGCUAAUCCUGGUCGGACAUCAGGAGGUUAGUGCAAUGGCAUAAGCCAGCUUGACUGCGAGCGUGACGGCGCGAGCAGGUGCGAAAGCAGGUCAUAGUGAUCCGGUGGUUCUGAAUGGAAGGGCCAUCGCUCAACGGAUAAAAGGUACUCCGGGGAUAACAGGCUGAUACCGCCCAAGAGUUCAUAUCGACGGCGGUGUUUGGCACCUCGAUGUCGGCUCAUCACAUCCUGGGGCUGAAGUAGGUCCCAAGGGUAUGGCUGUUCGCCAUUUAAAGUGGUACGCGAGCUGGGUUUAGAACGUCGUGAGACAGUUCGGUCCCUAUCUGCCGUGGGCGCUGGAGAACUGAGGGGGGCUGCUCCUAGUACGAGAGGACCGGAGUGGACGCAUCACUGGUGUUCGGGUUGUCAUGCCAAUGGCACUGCCCGGUAGCUAAAUGCGGAAGAGAUAAGUGCUGAAAGCAUCUAAGCACGAAACUUGCCCCGAGAUGAGUUCUCCCUGACUCCUUGAGAGUCCUGAAGGAACGUUGAAGACGACGACGUUGAUAGGCCGGGUGUGUAAGCGCAGCGAUGCGUUGAGCUAACCGGUACUAAUGAACCGUGAGGCUUAACCUUACAACGCCGAAG
rnacentral:rRNA from 1 species